UACGUAGGGGGCUAGCGUUGUCCGGAAUCAUUGGGCGUAAAGGGCGCGUAGGCGGCCGGCCAAGUCGGGUGUGAAAUCCCUCGGCUCAACCGAGGAACUGCACUCGAUACUGGCUGGCUCGAGUCCGGUAGGGGACCACGGAAUUCCUGGUGUAGCGGUGAAAUGCGCAGAUAUCAGGAGGAACACCGGUGGCGAAGGCGGUGGUCUGGGCCGGCACUGACGCUGAGGAGCGAAAGCGUGGGGAGCGAACAGG
rnacentral:rRNA from 1 species